GGCAGCAAUCGCGAGACUAGCAAAUCCCUAAACCGUGGCUCAGUUCAGAUCGUAGGCUGCAACUCGCCUACGUGAAGGAGGAAUCGCUAGUAAUCGCAGGUCAGCAUACUGCGGUGAAUACGUUCCCGGGCCUUGUACACACCGCCCGUCACACCAUGGAAGUUGGCCACGCCCGAAGCCGUUACUCCAACCCUUGUGGAGGAGGACGUCGAAGGUGGGGCUGAUGACUGGGGUGAAGUCGUAACAAGGUAGCCGUACCGGAAGGUGCGGCUGGAUCACCUCCUAACAGGGAGACAAACAACGAUUUUGAUGUCUGAGUAUUUUAUUCUUAGGCCGAAAUCCUGUCACCUUAGGUCGAUCGGUACCUCAGCUUUGAAGUGACUAAUUCAGCAGCGAUGUUGAAGAGAGUCAUGGAGAUUCUUAGUUCCUAAACUUUGUCUAGGUCACACCCCAUAAGGGGAUGAGACUCCUGGGCCAUUAGCUCAGGUGGUUAGAGCGCACCCCUGAUAAGGGUGAGGUCCCUGGUUCAAGUCCAGGAUGGCCCAUUCGGUGUUGGGGGUUUAGCUCAGUUGGUAGAGCGCCUGCUUUGCAAGCAGGAUGUCAGGAGUUCGAGUCUCCUAACCUCCACUUGACCGACUCAAUCCCCAUCUUCCAARAUUGGAGUAUGAGCUCGGAUGGAGUGUGAUUUAGAUGUGUCCGCUGGAUGACCCCAGCUUCCUGUCAUUCCAAAGCAAGGAAAGAUUUUCUUGAUUUGGUUGAUAAGAUGCUGGGCUCGAGUUUGGCUGGUGAGAGAUCAUCAGCCAAGUUUGAUGUCUAGCAGAACCUUGACAACUGCAUAGGUGAAGUCUGGAAAGAAUAAAGCAUCUCAUGGAUGCAUCAUUCUUAAUUGGAUGAUGUUUGAUUCUUGAGCAAGAGCCGAGACUCCAUGGCGUUCUUUUUAGUGUGUCGAGCACUAAAGAGUUUGAUUCCUUAAUUCAGCAAUGAAUGGGGAAGAAUCCGUUUCAACGACGGUAAGCGUGAUGGAGAUUAAUUGGUCAAGCUACAAAGGGCUCACGGCGGAUACCUUGGCACACAGAGGCGAUGAAGGACGUGGUUACCUGCGAUAAGUCUCGGGGAGCUGGAAACACGCUUUGAUCCGGGAAUUUCCGAAUGGGGCAACCCCUAGUACGGCCAGCUGAAUCCAUAGGCUGGCACGAGCCAACCCAGCGAACUGAAACAUCUUA
rnacentral:misc_RNA from 1 species